GGCUGGUCUCAAGGUAAUGAGAUAUCUCAAUUGAUUUUUCAGUCAGUUGCAGAUCGAAUUCUUUGUCCUACUCUUCCCUUCUCAUUACUAUACUUGACUAGACUUUA
ensembl:misc_RNA Y_RNA Y RNA